rnacentral:rRNA from 1 species
UACGUAGGAUGCAAGCGUUGUCCGGAAUUAUUGGGCGUAAAGGGUGCGCAGGCGGUUUUUCAAGUCAGAUGUGAAAUAUCCCGGCUUAACUGGGAGGGGCCAUUUGAAACUGAAAGACUAGAGUGCAGGAGAGGAUAGCGGAAUUCCCGGUGUAGUGGUGAAAUGCGCAGAUAUCAGGAGGAACACCGGUGGCGAAGGCGGGUCUCUGGGCAACAACUGACGCUGAGGAGCGAAAGCGUGGGGAGCGAACAGG